rnacentral:lncRNA from 1 species
AGAAACAAUUAAGUAUAGGCAUCAAAAGGCACAGGCAAGAGGGGAAAGUUCAAUUAGAGGAAGAUGUUUUCAUAAGCCAAUUAGAAAACAGAGUAGCUGUGUGGGUACCCAGCAUGAAUGCAAAUUUUUCUUCACUUGGGGAGGGUGGCUGCAGAUUUUAAUCUAAAGGCAGUGAGUUUGAGGGUUUCCUGAUGCAGCUGGGCAGCUGGGAAACAGACCUUUCCAGGGUGCCACUGUGGAGAUGAGUCCUGGCUUUGCCACGAGCAGGCAGUUUUGUUUGUUAGUUUGUUUUUUUGAGACAGGGUCUUGCUCUGUCACCCAGGCUGGAGUGCAGUGGCAUGAUCAGGCUGGAGUGCAGUGGCAUGAUCACAGUUUAUUGCAGCCUCAACCUCUUGGGCUCAAGCAAGCCUCCUGCCUCAGCCUCAUAAAUAGCUGGGAUUACAGGCAUGUACCACCAUGCCUGGCUAACUAAAAAUAUAUUUUUUUUGUAGAGGUUGGGGGUCUCGCUAUGUUGCCCAGGCUGGUCUUGAACUCCUGGCCCCAAGUGAUCCUCCAGCCUUGGUCUCCCAAAGUGCUGUGAUUACAGGUGUGAGCCAUUGUGCCGGGUCUGAGCCUGCAGUUUGACCUUCAUCACGUCACAUUACAUGACAUCACCCGCCUGGGCUUCAUGUUCCCCAUCAGGAAACCAACAUGGAAAGGGGAGGAGGUUAGACUCAAGUAUCUUCCGGGUCUAGGGGGUUGAGGUCCUGCAGAAAGGCAAGGCUUUGUGCUGAGCA